rnacentral:tmRNA from 1 species
GCUCUUUAAUUAAAAAAAUAAAUAAUGUAUAGUAAAAAAGUCAUUUUAAUGACUAUGGUGAUAAACAUUUUUUAGAAUAAGCUUAGCGGACCCGGGGGCGGUACCCGGCGCCUCCACCAAUAUUUUAAGGGGGCGAAAUAGGAUCGACGCAUGUAGUAAAAAUCAAACUUUCACUCGGCAUUGUACCACCGUUAUCGGACAAUUCAAGUAGUUGCAAAUGACAACUAUGCUCCGGUAGCUGCAGCAGCGUAAGCAGCCAAAGCAACCGAAACUUAGUCCAAUUCUUUAGCGAGUAUUGGCGGGGUUCAAAAUUACCUGGCAACAGAAAAUUUUAGGU